GAAAUGCGAUACGUAGUGUGAAUUGCAGAAUUCCGUGAACCAUCGAAUCUUUGAACGCAUAUUGCGCCCAAGACUUCGGUCGAGGGCAUGUCUGCGUCAGCGUCGGUAUAUCCCCUCGCUUCCCUCCUGUUUGUUAUGAACAAGGGUCGGCCCAGCGCUUGCUGCCGGGCUUGGAAGCGGAUCUGGCUUUCCCACUGCUUCAGUGGGUUUGCCGAAUAGCAGAGGCUAGAGCGAGGACCUGUCAUGGGCUCAACUGGAUAGGUAGAAGCGGUGCUGCAAAGCGCUGCCAAUACACGAAAGUUGGUGCCUUGGACCUCGCUGGCGGCCAGCAGGAAACGAGCGCGCGUGUUGUUGGCACCUUCGGUGCCAGUCGCCGCCGCCGUCUACCAUUCGACCUGAC
rnacentral:misc_RNA from 1 species